UGAGGAAUAUUGGUCAAUGGGCGAUAGCCUGAAACCAGCCAAGUCGCGUGAGGGAAGACGGUCCUACGGAUUGUAAACCUCUUUUGUCGGGGAGCAAUAAAGCGUACGCGUACGCAGAUGCGAGUACCCGAAGAAAAAGCAUCGGCUAACUCCGUGCC
rnacentral:rRNA from 1 species